UACAGAUUCAAGUUAACCGCUUUUGUUAAGAAUUGUGAGAAACCCAGCGAGGCGGCGACCCUGACUCUGGACACCAGUGCUGGAGUUCCGUUCUUCCUCGGGAAGGCUGCAAGUGAUCAUGUAUCUGAAAAGAAGAAGCCAGACAAGACUCGCGUUAUUACCGUUAAUAACACGUCCUUCGGAGAAGACAAUGGUCGUAUCAGGUAUUACGAAGUGCAGCUGGCUGAGGGAUGUGGAGAAAACCAGAUAUUUAAACCCAAAAGGUACGAGGACCAGCUGGGUAACAGAUGUGAGGAAACACAGACACUCGAUGCAUUUACUACAGUCGGUUGUAACGAAGCCAAAGUUUACUUGGGUGAUGAGAGGUCGCCACUGACGGCUGACACUAACUACACAUACCGGGUGGUUAUCUACACUUCAACAAACAGGGCAUCAUCUAGUCAUUACUGUUUCAAAACUGACCGUA